rnacentral:rRNA from 1 species
GUGAGGACGUUUCGUGGUGGAGACCGGCGCACGGGUGAGUAACGCGUGGGCACCUGCCCUGGGGUGGGGGAUAACCGCUGGAAACGGCGGCUAAUACCGCAUACGCCUUACGAGGGAAAGAUUUAUCGCCCUGGGAGGGGCCCGCGUUGGAUUAGCUUGUUGGUGGGGUAACGGCCCACCAAGGCGACGAUCCAUAGCUGGUCUGAGAGGAUGAUCAGCCACACUGGGACUGAGACACGGCCCAGACUCCUACGGGAGGCAGCAGUGGGGAAUAUUGGACAAUGGGGGCAACCCUGAUCCAGCCAUGCCGCGUGCGUGAAGAAGGCCUUAGGGUUGUAAAGCGCUUUCACCGGUGACGAUGAUGACGGUAGCCGGAGAAGAAGCCCCGGCUAACUCCGUGCCAGCAGCCGCGGUAAUACGGAGGGGGCAAGCGUUGUUCGGAAUUACUGGGCGUAAAGGGCGCGUAGGCGGAAGAUCAAGUCAGGGGUGAAAGGCCUGGGCUCAACCCGGGAACUGCCUUUGAAACUGAUUUUCUAGAGUACGGGAGAGGAUGGCGGAAUUCCCAGUGUAGAGGUGAAAUUCGUAGAUAUUGGGAAGAACACCGGUGGCGAAGGCGGCCAUCUGGCCCGGUACUGACGCUAAGGCGCGAA